rnacentral:rRNA from 1 species
CCCUUAGAUGUUCUCGGCCGCACACGCGCUACACUGAAAGAGGCAACGUGUUUGCCUGAUUCGAAAGAAUUGGGUAACCCCCUAAUCUCUUUCGUGCUGGGGAUUGAGGUUUGCAAUUAUCCUUCAUGAACGAGGAAUUCCCAGUAAGUGCGAGUCAUUAUCUCGCGCUGACUACGUCCCUGCCCUUUGUACACACCGCCCGUCGCUACUACCGAUUGAAUGAUUUAGUGAGGACUUCGGACUGAGUCCAAUGCGGCUUUCGGGCUGCGUUGGUAUUUCGUAAAGAUGUCCAAACUGUAUCAUUUAGAGGAAGUAAAAGUCGUANCA